rnacentral:rRNA from 1 species
UACGAAAAUAAAUUUAAAACUUUCAACAACGGAUCUCUUGGUUCUCGCAUCGAUGAAGAACGCAGCGAAUUGCGAUACGUAAUAUGACUUGCAGACGUGAAUCAUUGAAUCUUUGAACGCACAUUGCACUGGAGGGUAUUCCCUCCAGUAUACCAAGUUGAGCAUCUUUUUUCUCAUUCCCUCGGAAUGGCCUACCUACCAAAAUCUUAUCAACUACGUUAUAAGAACCUUAAUUUCUCAGCUUGGCAGGACUACCCGCUGAACUUAAGCAUAUCAAUAAGCGGAGGAAAAGAAACCAACAGGGAUUGCCUCAGUAACGGCGAGUGAAGCGGCAAAAGCUCAAAUUUGAAAGCUUCGGCAUUGUAAUUUCAAGGAAUUAAAUUGACAUAAAGAAAAAGUUCAUUGGAAAAUGACGCCUUAGAGGGUGACAGCCCCGUAUCUUACAGUCUUUUAUUUUUUUCCAAAGAGUCGAGUUGUUUGGGAAUGCAGCUCUAAUGGGUGGUAAAUUCCAUCUAAAGCUAAAUACAGGCGAGAGACCGAUAGCGAACAAGUACAGUGAUGGAAAGAUGAAAAGCACUUUGAAAAGAGAGUGAAAAAGUACGUGAAAUUGUUGGAAGGGAAGGGCUUGCAAGCAGACACGGUCUAACCGGGCCAGCAUCGUGUGCUCAGGUGUCAUAAAUCCAAAAGAAUGUAAGCUUCGGUGGUUAUAUCUUUCGGCAAUAGCACCCCGGGCGCACGAGGACCGCUAA